rnacentral:rRNA from 1 species
AAUGAACGCUGGCGGCGUGCUUAACACAUGCAAGUCGCACGAGAACGUUUCAGCUUGCUGAGACUAGUACAGUGGCGCACGGGUGAGUAACGCGUGGGUAAUCUACCUCCGAAUUGGGGAUAACAUUGCGAAAGCGGUGCUAAUACCGAAUAAUAUCCCCAGGACCCCGGUCUUGGUGAUCAAAGGUGGCCUCUACAUGUAAGCUACCGUUUGGAGAUGAGCCCGCGUACCAUUAGCUAGUUGGUAGGGUAAUGGCCUACCAAGGCUUCGAUGGUUGGCUGGGCUGAGAGGAUGUUCAGCCACACUGGAACUGACACACGGUCCAGACUCCUACGGGAGGCAGCAGUGAGGAAUUUUGCGCAAUGGGGGAAACCCUGACGCAGCAACGCCGCGUGAGUGAUGAAGGCCUUCGGGUCGUAAAGCUCUGUCAAGUGGGAAGAACCUGCUUUGUGAUAAUACCACGAGGCACUGACGGUACCACUGAAGGAAGCACCGGCUAACUCCGUGCCAGCCGCCGCGGUAAAAC